GACAGAGGAUGCAAGCGUUAUCCGGAAUGAUUGGGCGUAAAGCGUCUGUAGGUGGCUUUUUAAGUCUGCCGUCAAAUCCCAGGGCUUAACCCUGGACAGGCGGUGGAAACUACCAAGCUGGAGUACGGUAGGGGCAGAGGGAAUUUCCGGUGGAGCGGUGAAAUGCGUAGAGAUCGGAAAGAACACCAACGGCGAAAGCGCUCUGCUGGGCCGCAACUGACACUAAUGGACGAAAGCUAGGGGAGCGAAUGGG
rnacentral:rRNA from 1 species